ACCUGGCAGGCUCAGUUGGUAGAGUAUAUGAGUCUUGAUCUUGGGUUUGUGAGUUUGAGUCCCAUGUUGGGUA
rnacentral:tRNA from 1 species